GAGAGAAUCAAAUAGGAGUUCAAUUUCUUUCUUAUUCUGAAGGUAUAGAAAAUGUUUCUGGGAUGUAUCUUAGUUCCAUUUCUUUUCUCUCCCC